UGUUAUUUAUUUAUUUUUCGUUAACGUUAAAUUGAGGUUUUGACCGAAACUCAGCCUGCACAUACUUGAAAAGCCAUCAGGCUUGUUGGGCCGCGGAUAAAGGUCUUGGGAUUUCCCCACAGGGCUGCGGAGAGUACAGACAGGAAGCCCGGGACCGAGCGCCUGACCAGAACUUCCUCGGGGGAGGCUGGAGCAGAGCACGGCAUCCUGCUCAGAGCUCUCCAGAGCACACAGGGCAGAGCACUGGCUUGCUCUCAGGGGCAUGCUGGAAGAGAGACCCCAGCCCUGACCUGUGGGUCCAGACCCAGCGGACAGCAGAAGGCUGAAGCCUCCCCCAGGGAGGGGCUGACACUGUCAGGCUGGAACCUUCCAUUCUGGCCCAACCUCUCCCCCCACCCCCACCCCCCUGCGCCGAGGAGGGAAUUGAGAAGGGACUUUCCAGAGAGCGUUUGCGUGCAGGGUGUGGAAAUGGAAUAAAAGCAUAUGCAAAUAGGCCUUUGCGUGCCUUCCUCUACUCCAGUGAGCAAGAGCCCUUCUCCAGAAAGAUGCUCUUGCUCCAAGACACUUGACAGCUCUCUUCCUCCCCUGGACGGCGGUGGCAGCGCCGAGUGGAGUGGAACCUGUGGAGAAUCACAGUGAACAUGGCUUCUGUUGGCCCUUAGCACUCAAAGAUUCAUACGUCUUCUGAGGAGCAUGGUCAUCAGGGGCUGGAACCUUAAGGAGGAAGUUAUGAAGAUGUCCAGUCUCCAAAAUCAUUCAUCUUCAGUCCUGCCAUUGGGCAAGAACCACAUUUAAUCAAAGCAGGUAGCUUCACUGUGCCUGUGCCAGAAGGGACAAGCAGAGCUUCUCUUGUAUAUCUGAAAUAUUUCCCGGCCAGGACAUUCCCUUGAGAUCUGAUGCUAACCCAGAAGAUGACCCAUCAUUAUCUUAAUAAAAAAUGAUGUUGAAAUAAUCCUCUGUGGCUUCUUUUGGGAGAGGUUGAAGUGGAGGUUAAGGGAACAGCUUCCAGAGUGUGGAAGAAUAUUUUCCAGCUUCUCUGCUUUUCAGAUCACUGUUGCUUUCCUGCUGAAGAUGAAGUAAGUGUUGCUCAAACGCAACUGGUCCCAGGUCUUCUUGGAAAGGAGAUGAGGUCUCUGAAGGAGAGAGGGAGGGAGAAAGGGAGAAGAAACAGCAAGCUGUAUCCGCUCAUCCCAGUCCUUUGGAGGCAGCUCAGGCAAUGCCAGGAGUGUUUCUGCAGAGAUGUCUUUAUCGAGGAUUCCGAAAAUGAGAGGAGGCAAGGAGGUGAAGAAGAGAUUGAAGAAUAUCAUCUGCCAAUAAUCGAUCAUGGUGGAACCAGAGAAACCACAGAAAAACUGGUACCAGAAGAGCAGGUUGACGUAGCACUGCAGGCAGAGAAUGUGGCCUUGUGAGUAAGGACCAUGGGCAGUGGUCACCAGCUGCUGCUUAGGAACCUCUGGCAAGCCUACGCUGACUUGGAGCUUCUGUUUUCUCCUUUGUGACAUGCAGAGUUGUGUAAGAACCAGAGAUAAAUAAUCCUUAGAGCACCAGCUGCUACUGUUCCUAUUAAUAUGUUCUUUUGGACCUGAAGGGAAUCACACCAACUUGUUAAGGUCACAAGUGGAAAGUUUCCUGGCUCUGAAAGAGAUCCUGGUGCCCUGAGACAUCCUGGACCUUGCAUCUUUCUGUCAGAAGGAGUGAGAGGGCUCAAUCUGUUUACUGUGCUGCAGGCCCUGUUAGGACCUCGCUUGCUUCCACUUCCCCUGGCUGGAAUCUUGGCGCUUCCAAGGAUGCGCCCGGAACCUGGUGACGGCAUCACUGAGAGGGGGGCCUGCGUUUUCCUCCCAAGAAGCUACAGUGCAGUAAUUAAUUCAUUGUUGAAAUUUCAGAGCAGGCAAGGUUUUAAUCCCGUCUGAAAUUGGUUUUGGAUGUGGAAGUCAUAGUUCUCCACCCUCUAAUUGCAAUGGGGAGAUAAUGCGGCAUCAGUAUCACAAUUUUGAGCAUGGCAUCGGGCUGGAAAUAAAUACCGUUUAAGCUUUGAA